GGCUCACCAAGGCGACGAUCUGUAGCGGGUCUGAGAGGAUGAUCCGCCACACUGGAACUGAGACACGGUCCAGACUCCUACGGGAGGCAGCAGUGGGGAAUUUUGGACAAUGGGGGCAACCCUGAUCCAGCCAUGCCGCGUGAGUGAAGAAGGCCUUCGGGUUGUAAAGCUCUUUCGGCCGGGAAGAAAUCGCGUGGGUUAAUACCCUGUGCGGAUGACGGUACCGGCAUAAGAAGCACCUAACUACGUGCCAGCAGCCGCGGUAAUACGUAGGGUGCGAGCGUUAAUCGGAAUUACUGGGCGUAAAGCGUGCGCAGGCGGUUUUGUAAGACAGGCGUGAAAUACCCGGGCUCAACCUGGGAACUGCGCUUGUGACUGCAAGGCUAGAGUAUGGCAGAGGGGGGUGGAAUUCCACGUGUAGCAGUGAAAUGCGUAGAGAUGUGGAGGAACACCAAUGGCGAAGGCAGCCCCCUGGGCCAAUACUGACGCUCAUGCACGAAAGCGUGGGUAGCAAACAGGAUUAGAUACCCUGGUAGUCCACGCCCUAAACGAUGUCAACUAGGUGUUGGGUGGGUAAAACCAUUUAGUAUCGGAGCUAACGCGUGAAGUUGACCGCCUGGGGGGUACGGCCGCAAGGUUAAAACUCAAAGGAAUUGACGGGGACCCGCACAAGCGGUGGAUGAUGUGGAUUAAUUCGAUGCAACGCGAAAAACCUUACCUACCCUUGACAUGUCCAGGAGCCUGAAGAGAUUUGGGUGUGCCCGAAAGGGAACUGGAACACAGGUGCUGCAUGGCUGUCGUCAGCUCGUGUCGUGAGAUGUUGGGUUAAGUCCCGCAACGAGCGCAACCCUUGUCGUUAAUUGCCAUCAUUUAGUUGGGCACUUUAACGAGACUGCCGGUGACAAACCGGAGGAAGGUGGGGAUGACGUCAAGUCCUCAUGGCCCUUAUGGGUAGGGCUUCACACGUCAUACAAUGGUCGGUACAAAGGGUUGCCAACCCGCGAGGGGAGCCAAUCCCAGAAAGCCGAUCGUAGUCCGGAUUGCAGGCUGCAACUCGCCUGCAUGAAGUCGGAAUCGCUAGUAAUCGUGGAUCAGCAUGUCACGGUGAAUACGUUCCCGGGUCUUGUACACACCGCCCGUCACACCAUGGGAGCGGGUUCCGCCAGAAGUAGGUAGCCUAACCGCAAGGGGGGCGCUUACCACGGCGGGGUUCGUGACUGGGGUGAAGUCGUAACAAGGUA
rnacentral:rRNA from 1 species